rnacentral:rRNA from 1 species
UUGUUGGUGAGGUAAAAGCUUACCAAGGCUUCGAUCAGUAGCUGGUCUGAGAGGACGGCCAGCCACACUGGGACUGAGACACGGCCCAGACUCCUACGGGAGGCAGCAGUGGGGAAUUUUGGACAAUGGGGGCAACCCUGAUCCAGCCAUGCCGCGUGAGUGAAGAAGGCCUUCGGGUUGUAAAGCUCUUUCAGCCGGAACGAAACGGUUACGGUUAAUACCCGUGACUACUGACGGUACCGGAAGAAGAAGCACCGGCUAACUACGUGCCAGCAGCCGCGGUAAUACGCAGGGUGCAAGCGUUAAUCGGAAUUACUGGGCGUAAAGCGUGCGCAGGUGGUUUUGUAAGUCAGAUGUGAAAUCCCCGGGCUUAACCUGGGAACUGCGUUUGAAACUACAAGGCUAGAGUGUGGCAGAGGGGGGUGGAAUUCCGCGUGUAGCAGUGAAAUGCGUAGAUAUGUGGAGGAACACCGAUGGCGAAGGCAGCCCCCUGGGUCAACACUGACGCUCAGGCACGAAAGCAUGGGGAGCAAACAGGAUUAGAUACCCUGGUAGUCCAUGCCCUAAACGAUGUCAACUAGUUGUCGGGCCUUAACGGGCUUGGUAACGUAGCUAACGCGUGAAGUUGACCGCCUGGGGAGUACGAUCGCAAGAUUAAAACUCAAAGGAAUUGACGGGGACCCGCACAAGCGGUGGAUUAUGUGGAUUAAUUCGAUGCAACGCGAAAAACCUUACCUACCCUUGACAUGUAUCGAAGCCCGCAGAGAAGCGGGUGUGCCCGAAAGGGAACGAUAACACAGGUGCUGCAUGACUGUCGUCAGCUCGUGUCGUGAGAUGUUGGGUUAAGUCCCGCAACGAGCGCAACCCUUGUCAUUAAUUGCCAUCAUUUAGUUGGGCACUUUAAUGAGACUGCCGG